AUUUGAGUAUCAUUUUAUUGUUCCAAUAUUUUCCGUUGUAUGAUGAUCCUUCACAGACCUGUUCUGAAUAUUUUUGAGGAGAAAAUAAAUAAAUUUCUGAUCAAAUUAUGAAAUUUGACAUUUCUGUGAUGUGCUUCAACGUAUUUAACGUUUUUUAUUAUUAUUUACAGGUAUCUUCCCUCGUUCAUCACUUGGUCAUUCAUCAGGUAUUUUCCCCACAACGGAUCCAUAUUGCUAAUGCAUCAGGUGUCGACUGACUGAAGCUGCUGGAUCAUUUUGUCCACAUAAGAAAAUGCUUCAUCGCACACGACGCAUUCGCAGCAGCACGUCUAAUCGAUUUUUUUACAUUAAAGGCGCUGUAUUCGAGUCUGCGAACUGCGAAGCUAAAUUUGAAAGGAGCAUGAAAUGUUAGGAUGUAUGUGAAAUAAAUAAAUAAAU